UACAAUGGAACACGUGUAUUGUUCCAUCAAGAUGUGGCUUCUAUUUGCCCAUAUUUUUUUCCCGUUUUCUAUUUUUCUUUUCGGGUUUGUAUUGUGUCUUUAAUUUGUUCUAUAAUAUAUAGAUAUGAAAGAUCUCGGGACAUUUGUAAUGGACAAUAAGCAAUACACUUAUCUAUUGUCUGCUGAAUUGUUUAUGACUAAUGGCUUGCUUAAUAAUCACUUUUUCUUGUUGUUGUUCCUGAUAUA
rnacentral:lncRNA from 1 species